rnacentral:tRNA from 1 species
CAUUAAGAAGCUAUGCCACAGCACUAGCCUUUUAAGCUAGAAGAUAGAGGUCUUACUCCUCCUUAAUGA